UACGUAGGGCGCAAGCGUUGUCCGGAAUUAUUGGGCGUAAAGAGCUCGUAGGCGGUUUGUCGCGUCUGCUGUGAAAGCCCGGGGCUCAACCCCGGGUCUGCAGUGGGUACGGGCAGACUAGAGUGCAGUAGGGGAGACUGGAAUUCCUGGUGUAGCGGUGGAAUGCGCAGAUAUCAGGAGGAACACCGGUGGCGAAGGCGGGUCUCUGGGCAGUAACUGACGCUGAGGAGCGAAAGCGUGGGGAGCGAACAGG
rnacentral:rRNA from 1 species